rnacentral:rRNA from 1 species
CAGCAAGCCGCGGUAAUACGGAGGGAGCAAGCGUUAUUCGGAAUUACUGGGCGUAAAGCGCACGUAGGCGGCUUUGUAAGUAAGAGGUGAAAGCCCAGAGCUCAACUCUGGAAUUGCCUUUUUCACUGCAUAGCUUGAAUCUUGGAGAGGUCUGUGGAAUUCCGAGUGUAGAGGUGAAAUUCGUAGAUAUUUGGAAGAACACCAGUGGCGAAGGCGGCUUCCUGGACAUGUAUUGACGCUCAGGUGCGAAAGCGUGGGGAGCAAACAGGAUUAGAUACCCUGGUAGUCCACGCCGUAAACGAUGAUUACUAGCUGUCCGGACUCUUGGUGUUUUGGGUGGGCGCAGCUAAACGCAUUAAGUUUACCCGCCUGGGG